rnacentral:tRNA from 1 species
AGGCUCUGAGGGCUGCAAAACAGCGGACUCAUAAUUCGUUGGUGCCGGGUUCGACUCCCGGGGGGCCCACCA